rnacentral:misc_RNA from 1 species
AAGUCGUAACAAGGUAUCUGUAGGUGAACCUGCAGAUGGAUCAUUUCGAUGAAAACCUUUUUUUCAGAGGUGUGGCUCGCACCUGUCUAACUAAACUUGAGCUACCUUUUUUCAACACGGUUGCAUCGGUCGGCCUGUCAAACAGUGCGACGCAAGGAGAAAAUCCUCGCGUCUGCUGGGCGACGGACGGACAAUUUUAUUUAACACUUUUGGAUGAUCUAGGAUUUGAAGGAGAAAAAGUCAUUUUUACGAAUGAAAUCGACUGGUAAUGCGGUCGUCUAAUUUUAAAAACAACUUUUGGCAACGGAUCUCUUGGUUCUCC